GUGGGGAAUAUUGGGCAAUGGGGGCAACCCUGACCCAGCAACGCCGCGUGAGGGAAGAAGGUUUUCGGAUUGUAAACCUCUGUCCUAUGGGAAGAAGGAAGUGACGGUACCAUAGGAGGAAGCCCCGGCUAACUACGUGCCAGCAGCCGCGGAAAUACGUAGGGGGCGAGCGUUGUCCGGAAUUACUGGGCGUAAAGGGUGCGCAGGUGGCCUGACAAGUCAGAUGUGAAAUACCGACGCUUAACGUCGGGGCUGCAUUUGAAACGAAGAGGCUGGAGUGCAGGAGAGGGAAGCGGAAUUCGUAGUGUAGCGGUGAAAUGCAUAGAUAUAGGGAGGAACACCAGUGGCGAGGGCAGCUUGCUGGACUGUAACUGACACUGAGGCACGAAAGCGUGGGGAGCAAACAGGAUUAGAAACCCUAGUAGUCC
rnacentral:rRNA from 1 species